CGUAUCUUUCUACUAUAUAAUGGGAUAAGAUCCAAUACCUUUUGCAAGCUAACGCAUGCUCUAUUAUUCUCUUCUGUCGCGACACGUCCCCAACGUACAGCUUGGUAGCAUAUAUGAUUUAUUUUCCAAGCUUGGGUAGUCCGGACAAAUGGCAAUCUCAACGUUGGAGAAGAGCUAGACGAUAUACUCAACUACUUCAAG
rnacentral:ribozyme from 1 species